CCCAACUAUCCCUAUUAAUCAUUACGUCGAUCCUAGAAACCAACAAAAUAAGAUCAAACGUCCUAUUUCAUUAUUCCAUGCUAAUGUAUUCAAGCGUUAGCUUGCUUUAAACACUCUAAUUUUUUCAAAGUAACAGUCCUGAUUCCCCGCGAUGUCAUUAAUUUGGUGUCGCGGCUCCUCAGAAGAGAGGAAUCAACAAAACCAGUACGUACCAUUGGCACGACCAGUGAAUUGACCCCGAAAUUCAACUACGAGCUUUUUAACUGCAGCAACUUUAAUAUACGCUAUUGGAGCUGGAAUUACCGCGGCUGCUGGCACCAGACUUGCCCUCCAA
rnacentral:misc_RNA from 1 species